rnacentral:misc_RNA from 1 species
AAGUCGUAACAAGGUUUCCGUAGGUGAACCUGCGGAAGGAUCAUUACCGAGAGAGGGGCUUCGCGCUCCCGGGGGCUCCGGCCCCCAACUCUUCACCCAUUGUUCAUUCACCCUUGUUGCUUUGGCGGACCUCGGGGCUUCUCCCGCGCUGGCUUCCGGGUCAGUGAGCGUCCGUCAGAGGCCCAUUCAAAUCCUCUUUAUCCGUGACGUCCGAGUAUAUAUAUAAAAAUUAGUCAAAACUUUCAACAACGGAUCUCUUGGUUCCA